rnacentral:rRNA from 1 species
AUGGAGGAGGGCGUGGCCGACGCUGCUACGGGUGGAGGGAUGGACGGCGAGGUGGAGGAAGGCCACGACGCUGCACCGGCCUCGUCCUCGGGCGACCAUGGCGGGCAGGCGAAGGGCGGCCAUGGCGGGAUGAAGCAGGACGGUCAAGGCGCGGCGCCGGAGGGCGGCCAUGGCGGGGAGGUGGAGGACAGGCAAGGUGCGGCGUGGGAGGGCGGCCAUGGCGGGGAGGUGGAGGGCGGUCAAGGUGCAGCGCCGGAGGGCGGCCAUGGCGGGGAGGUGGAGGGCGGUCAAGGUGCAACGGCCACAGAUGCAAGUACUCCGGCAUGGCUAGAAGGGAUGGAUCCAAACUCAACUUCUUACUGA